rnacentral:rRNA from 1 species
CAGCAGCCGCGGUAAUACAGAGGGUGCAAGCGUUAAUCGGAAUUACUGGGCGUAAAGCGCGCGUAGGUGGUUUGUUAAGUUGGAUGUGAAAGCCCCGGGCUCAACCUGGGAACUGCAUCCAAAACUGGCAAGCUAGAGUACGGUAGAGGGUGGUGGAAUUUCCUGUGUAGCGGUGAAAUGCGUAGAUAUAGGAAGGAACACCAGUGGCGAAGGCGACCACCUGGACUGAUACUGACACUGAGGUGCGAAAGCGUGGGGAGCAAACAGGAUUAGAUACCCCAGUAGUCCCUGUCUCUUAUCA